UCUGACAGGGGGAAGAGGACGGGGUAAGAACAGAGGACGACAUGAAACCUCUGGCAAUUUGUUCUAGUUUACAAAGAAGCUUUGCCUCCAUGAUUCAGUGUAAACACAGCUGCACAGCAAACACCUCCCCAGUCACCAAGCCCGGCACAAAAGCAUGCAACAUUUCUGCUCAGAACCACAGGCCGUUCUUUAUAUGGAAGAACCAGAAGACUCCUCACACCCUGAAAAGGCUUCACUUAAAGGGCCCAUAUCAUGCAAAAUCCACUUUUUAGACAUUUUGGAGCGUCCCUAUGACUCUAUGGGUCACACAUACACACACUGAGCACGGUAGAAAUGCAUUUCCUGCUUUUUUCACAUUUUGAAAACGUAAAUUUUCUCAUCCAAUGAAAACAGCCACGACCUACUCUGAGGCCGUGUCCCAGUUGUCGUCACACUGGUUGAAAGUUCUCCUUGCAAAUCCUGAACCACCACCCCCACAAUGAUCCCGAACCAAAACUGGACUUCCGCCAUUUCCCCCCUCUCACUCACCGUGAACAGACCAGCACGGCAGCGCCCAAGUCCUCCCAUAGAAAUAGUUCGGUUCUUAGGUGUUCUAACCAACACCAAAGUCUCUUCACUUUACCAAGGGAUCAACAAGUGAGGAUUUGUGGGUCACUUUUAUUUUUAAUGGACCGGUGCCAGAAACACUGCCUCAGCAUUUAUACGUAUGUGCAUUUCAAACGAGGGUGCGUACAAUGCUGGAUUUGUUUCACGGCUCCUGUUGGAAAAAAAGGACCUAUUCCUAAAGUCCGUCAUCCACUCACUGAAGAGGGCAAAUCCCAGUUGCCCACAUGCAAGGAGGCUGUCAAACAGAGAAAUCACUGCAGACUGUUGGUACACGGACAUCUGCUGCCCAGCUCAGGAGUGAAGGUAUGUAAGUUUGUAUGUACCAACAGUAAGAUAGGUAAUAGAAGAUUUUAAUUGGUAUAUACUGUUUAGAUUUUAUAUUUGAAUUGUAACAACUGUUUAUCUGUUGUUUUAGCACAGACAGGCCUGUCCUCUUGUUUGGUUUAAUUUUUUGUCUGGUAUUGUGUGUUCUUACAUUAGAGAAGGUUUUGACCUACAUAAUAAUUAACAUUUCACUAAUCUACAAUUCUGAUUGCACUACCUUUUGUUUUGAUGAGGUGAUGGUGAGGACAGCCACAGCUUCCAUCUGGUAGAGGACUGCUUCCGCUCAGUCUUCCAAAUAGUGAUGAGAACAAGGAUCACCACAUCUCCCUGUUUACCCUACUUUUAAUGCAUUUCGUCUGCAAGGCCCUGCAAAAGCUUCUCCUUCGUCCUCAAACCCCCAGACUUCUUAUUUAACUCAGUAACCUAUACAUUGCACACUGGAGUGUGAAGGUAACAGUUUGUUCUAGCUUUGGAGUAGUGGUGUAUUUUUUUGGUUUACAAUAAAGUUGGCUUUAACUAUUAUGUAUUUCA
rnacentral:lncRNA from 1 species